rnacentral:rRNA from 1 species
UACGGGAGGCAGCAGUGGGGAAUAUUGCACAAUGGGCGAAAGCCUGAUGCAGCUAUGCCGCGUGUAUGAAGAAGGCCUUAGGGUUGUAAAGUACUUUCAUCGGGGAGGAAAAAACAAAACUAAUAAUUUUAUUUCUUGACGUUACCCGAAAAAGAAGCACCGGCUAACUCCGUGCCAGCAGCCGCGGUAAUACGGAGGGUGCUAGCGUUAAUCAGAAUUACUGGGCGUAAAGAGCACGUAGGUGGUUUUUUAAGUUCAGAUGUGAAAUCCCUGGGCUUUAACCUAGGAACUGCAUUUUGAAACUGAAAUACUAGAGUAUCGUAGAGGGAGGUAGAAUUCUAGGUGUAGCGGUGAAAUGCGUAGAUAUCUGGAGGAAUACCUGUGGCGAAAGCGGCCUCCUAAACGAAUACUGACACUGAGGGUGCGAAAGCGUGGGGAGCGAAAACAGGGAUUAGAUACC